rnacentral:rRNA from 1 species
UGAGGAAUAUUGGUCAAUGGGCGAGAGCCUGAUGCAGCAACGCCGCGUGAACGAUGAAGGUCUUCGGAUCGUAAAGUUCUGUUGCAGGGGAAGAUAAUGACGGUACCCUGUGAGGAAGCCCCGGCUAACUACGUGCCAGCAGCCGCGGUAAUACGUAGGGGGCUAGCGUUAUCCGGAUUUACUGGGCGUAAAGGGUGCGUAGGUGGUCUUUCAAGUCGGUGGUUAAAGGCUACGGCUCAACCGUAGUUAGCCUCCGAAACUGGAAGACUUGAGUGCAGGAGAGGAAAGUGGAAUUCCCAGUGUAGCGGUGAAAUGCGUAGAUAUUGGGAGGAACACCAGUAGCGAAGGCGGCUUUCUGGACUGCAACUGACACUGAGGCACGAAAGCGUGGGUAGCAAACAGG